rnacentral:rRNA from 1 species
CAGCCGUAAACUAUGCGCGUUAGGUGUACUGGUGACCACGAGUCACCGGGUGCCGAAGGGAAACCGUGAAACGUGCCGCCUGGGAAGUACGGUCGCAAGGCUGAAACUUAAAGGAUUGGCGGGGGAGCACCACAACGGGUGGAGCCUGCGGUUUAAUUGGACUCAACGCCGGAAAUCUCACCGGAUAGGACAGACAUAUGAUAGUCGGGCUGAAGACUCUACUUGAUGAUCUGAGAGGUGGUGCAUGGCGUCAGUGACU